UGGGGAAUCUUGCGCAAUGGGCGAAAGCCUGACGCAGCGACGCCGCGUGAGCGAUGAAGGCCUUCGGGUUGUAAAGCUCUGUGGGGAGGAAAGAAUAAGGUUUGGCUAAUAUCCAAGCUGAUGACGGUACCUCCUUAGCAAGCACCGGCUAACUCUGUGCCAGCAGCCGCGGUAAGACAGAGGGUGCAAACGUUGUUCGGAAUUACUGGGCGUAAAGCGCGUGUAGGCGGCCCUGCAAGUCGGAUGUGAAAUCCCACGGCUCAACCGUGGAAGUGCAUUCGAAACUGCAGGGCUAGAGUCCUGGAGAGGAAGGUGGAAUGCUUGGUGUAGAGGUGAAAUUCGUAGAUAUCAAGCGGAACACCGGUGGCGAAGGCGGCCUUCUGGACAGUGACUGACGCUGAGACGCGAAAGCGUGGGGAGCAAACAG
rnacentral:rRNA from 1 species